rnacentral:rRNA from 1 species
GGUUUGAUAAACCUGGCCCGCCGCGGUUACGUGUGUGAGUGCCGGUGUUUGUCUGCCAUCCUUCUGGUCAACGUGUCUACCCUUCACUGGGCCGGAUACGCGAUCCAGAUCAUUUACUUUGAAAAAAUUAGAGUGUUUAAAGCAGGCUUUUUGCUAUGAAUACAUUAGCAUGGAAUAAUAAUUUAGGACUUUGGCCCUAUUUUGUUGGUUUCUAGAGCUGAAGUA